rnacentral:rRNA from 1 species
AGAGUUUGAUCCUGGCUCAGAUUGAACGCUGGCGGCAUGCCUUACACAUGCAAGUCGAACGGCAGCACGGGAGCAAUCCUGGUGGCGAGUGGCGAACGGGGGAGAUAUAUCGGAACGUGCCCAGUCGUGGGGGAUAACGCAGCGAAAGCUGUGCUAAUACCGCAUACGAUCUCUGGAGGGAAAAGGGGGACUCGCAAGGGCCUCGCGCGAUUGGAGCGGCCGAUAUCAGAUUAGCUAGUUGGUGGGGUAAAAGCCCACCAAGGCGACGAUCUGUAGCUGGUCUGAGAGGACGACCAGCCACACUGGAACUGAGACACGGUCCAGACUCCUACGGGAGGCAGCAGUGGGGAAUUUUGGACAAUGGGCGCAAGCCUGAUCCAGCAAUGCCGCGUGCAGGAUGAAGGCCUUCGGGUUGUAAACCUCUGUCCUUGGUGAAGAGAAGCGGGUGGUUAAUACCUGCCGAUAAUGACGGUACCCACAAAGGAAGCACCGGCUAACUCCGUGCCAGCAGCCGCGGUAAUACGGAGGGUGCAAGCGUUGUUCGGAAUUAUUGGGCGUAAAGCGCGUGUAGGCGGUUUGCUCAGUCAGAUGUGAAAGCCCUGGGCUCAACCUGGGAAGUGCAUUGGAUACUGGCAAACUUGAGUACGGGAGAGGAUAGUGGAAUUUCGAGUGUAGGGGUGAAAUCCGUAGAUAUUGGGAGGAACACCGACGGCGAAGGCAGGUUACCAACCCAUUACUGACGCUGAGGCACGAAAGCGUGGGGAUCAAACAGGAUUAGAUACCCUGGUAGUCCACGCCGUAAACGAUGGGUACUAGGUGUUGCGGGGGGUCAAAGCCCGGUGCCGAAGCUAACGCAUUAAGUACCCCGCCUGGGGAGUACGGUCGCAAGACUAAAACUCAAAGGAAUUGACGGGGGCCCGCACAAGCGGUGGAGCAUGUGGUUUAAUUCGACGCAACGCGAAGAACCUUACCUGGGCUUGACAUCCCGAUCGUACCUGGAAACAGUGGGGUCAGUUCGGCUGGAUCGGAGACAGGUGCUGCAUGGCUGUCGUCAGCUCGUGUCGUGAGAUGUUGGGUUAAGUCCCGCAACGAGCGCAACCCUUGUCCUUAGUUGCCAUCAUUUAGUUGGGCACUCUAAGGAGACUGCCGGUGUUAAACCGGAGGAAGGUGGGGAUGACGUCAAGUCCUCAUGGCCCUUAUGUCCAGGGCUACACACGUGCUACAAUGGCCGGUACAAAGGGUUGCGAUCCCGCGAGGUGGAGCCAAUCCCAAAAAGCCGGUCUCAGUUCGGAUUGGAGUCUGCAACUCGACUCCAUGAAGUUGGAAUCGCUAGUAAUCGCGGAUCAGCCAUGGCGCGGUGAAUACGUUCCCGGGCCUUGUACACACCGCCCGUCAAACCAUGGGAGUUGGUUGCACCAGAAGUAGGUAGUCUAACCGCAAGGAGGACGCUUACCACGGUGUGGCCGAUGACUGGGGUGAAGUCGUAACAAGGUAACC